rnacentral:rRNA from 1 species
CCUACGGGGCGCAGCAGUGAGGAAUAUUGGUCAAUGGGCGGGAGCCUGAACCAGCCAAGUCGCGUGAGGGAAGACGGUCCUAUGGAUUGUAAACCUCUUUAGGCGGGGAGCAAUGCCGGGCACGCGUGUCCGGAGGGAGAGUACCCGCAGAAUAAGCAUCGGCUAACUCCGUGCCAGCAGCCGCGGUAAUACGUAGGGGGCAAGCGUUAUCCGGAUUUACUGGGUGUAAAGGGAGCGUAGACGGCAGCGCAAGUCUGAAGUGAAAUGCCGGGGCUUAACCCCGGAACUGCUUUGGAAACUGUGCA